rnacentral:rRNA from 1 species
CCUACGGGAUGCAGCAGUGAGGAAUAUUGGUCAAUGGACGGAAGUCUGAACCAGCGAUGCCGCGUGCAGGAAGACGGCGCUAUGAGUUGUAAACUGCUUUUGUAAAAGGGGAAACCUGAAUCCGUGUAUUCAGCGGAAAGUACUGUACGAAUAAGGAUCGGCUAACUCCGUGCCAGCAGUCGCGGUAAUACGGAGGAUCCAAGCGUUAUCCGGAUGUAUUGGGUUUAAAGGGUGCGUAGGCGGAUUGAUAAGUUAGAGGUGAAAUGUUCGAGCUUAACUCGGGAACUGCCUCUAAUACUGUUGUUCUAGAGAGUAGAUGCGGUAGGCGGAAUGUAUGGUGUAGCGGUGAUAUGCUUAGAGAUCAUACAGAACACCGAUUGCGAAGGCAGCUUACCAAUCUAUAUCUGACGUUGAGGCACGAAAGCGUGGGGAGCAAACAGGAUUAGAUACCUUGUAGUC